rnacentral:lncRNA from 1 species
UCCUGAUUGACCAAUUGGUGAGAUGUUCUCCCCGGUUCAUGCUGAUGGUGCCAGAAUGCACGAACUAACCUUUGGGGAGGGGAAUAAAAAUAAAAAGGAAAAAGGUAAAAAGUUAGUCUGGAUUCGAAUAAAUAAUAUUUCAAUAUUUAAACACAUUGUGCGGGAAUAUAAAUCGCCUCCUAGUUUGGGUGCCUCGUUUGUGCCCGAGGUAGGCCUAGCGACAAAUAAAAUUUGGAGAACUCAUAACACCAAGUGACUCAAUUUAUCGAUAGAAAAUAGAACGAGUCAAAACAAACUGAAAAAAAGAGAAAUUGUUACUAAUGGCCAGUGGCUUUAUUACACCAGGAAAGCAGUAAAAAUCCUAACUACUUGGUCCCCGAAGGACCUUCCCUAGAUUCAAUAUCUUUGCCUCCCUCGUAAGCUGCAUCAACUCGCGCAGUCCUAGCAACAAGUAAGCCCGAGCCAAGUGCCCACCAUCGUUACCUUCAGCUUCCUGACAGUCAUUGAUCCUUUUCAGAAAUUUGCCUUCCAACUCCAGUAGACCUCGCUCCAAGUACCCUAAGUGGUUGUUUGCAUGGACAGCCAUGUCCUUCCAUUCAUUGAUUAGUUUCUCUUGGGCCUAUUGUAUUUCCCGAUGCUCACUUUCGCACUCUCGCAUUUGUUUGCGUAGCUGAUUAUACUUGACAUUUGCUGCAUUCUUCUCAUCAAUAAGCCUGUGACCAUGGAUGAAACCUGGCUUUCCCAAGCCGAUGUGAUCAUCUUCUAACCAUCCUAGAUAAAGCAGCGCAUGCCCUGCCCGAUACCUGUCUGGUUCCAUAGAUUCCUUUUCCAAGAUCAGUUUGGAAUGCCACAUAUGAUGAGCCCGACACCUGUGUGGGCUAUCGUCAUCUUGGAAGUCAGCCCGGGUAGUGACUCAUCUUUUUUACAUUUGGUAUAAUCUGCUUUCUUCCUGCUUGUCUCAUGACUCGGGGACAUAAUGGUAAGCUCCUCUUAAGCCGAUGAAUAUAAGGAAUGGAGCAGACCAAAUGAUUAACACUCCGGUUGGAAACCACUCGUACAUCUAUUGUACCUGCUCUUUUUUCAGAUUCUCCAACAGUUACACCCAUUCACUGGCGUUUUUCGGGCGAGCGAACAUAUCCUGCAUGAAGUGCAUUCGCUUUGGAUAAUGGAAAGGAUUGUCAUCCCAGUAUCGGUGUAUGAUCUCCUGUCUGUAAUCUCCCUUCUGAAGAUGUUCAACAAGCCAGAGUUUUAGUAGCAAAUUGCACCCUUCAAAAUGUGGUGGCCCUUCUUGACAUUUCUCUAAGGCUCGGCAUAGUUCGGCGAGGAUCAUGUUUGCUAUGCUAAAUGUCUGCCCGUAGAUACCCUCCAUUAUGGCUUUGGUUACCAUGGCUAGUCUUGUAUGGAUUCUAGCCUUCUUCAUACAGUUCAGCGAGGAUCAGGGGCGCUAUGGUGAAUGUUUGUCCGUCGAUACCCUCCAUUGUGGCUUUGGUCACCAUGGUUAGUCUUGUAUGGAUCCUAGCCUUCUUCAUUGGAAAGACUAUCAUGCCUAGGAAAUAGAACAUGAAUACAAAGGCUCUCCUAUGUAUGUGCCCCAAAGAGGUGAGGGCGAACUCGUCCAUGUGAGUGCGGUAGGAUUUGCUAUGUUUGAACCUUUCAUACAUGAAAUCGAAGAUAUGUAGGAGUCUUUCAUACUCGUCAGAUUAGGAUUCUUCUUGAGCCCCAUCAUUUUUAGGAACCCUCUAGCUUUGCGGUUUUCUGGCAUACGCAGCCUCGGGCUAUCCCAAGGAAUUCCGGCUAGACCCCCAAUUUCCUCCAACAGCGGCGUCAUUUCAAUACCCCCAUAGCGGAAGAUAGAUCAUUCACUCUCCAAAAUAUACUAGCAGCGUCCACAAUCUUGUUAUCUGGCCUAACUUCUAGGAGUGAAGAAAGAUUUCCCAAAGCGGAAGACAGGCCGUUCAUUAUCCCAAAACAGAGUAGCAGCUUCCACAAUCUUGUUAUCUGGCCUAACUUCCAAGAGUGAGGGAAGAUUCCCUAAGUGCUUGCGGACAAGAACCUGAUCACUACCAUGCAAAUCUUCCCACCACCUUAGUAACUUUGGGUGAAUGUCUGAUACCAUAUCGAAUCUGGGGACCUCUUGCAUCAUUUCGUGCAAAAUAGAGUGUUAGGCCCAAACCCCACCGGACUCGACUAUUUAAAUCAAUAAUUAGCAAAAGUCUUUUAGUUCUCCAAAUCAAUGCAGUUAACGUGAAUGUAUGUUUGGGUUUCAGGAACCCGAUGGACUUUGGUUUUGGCUAUCUUAAUGAGUCAUUAUGCGGAAGACAUAAAUGACAUGGCUAAGUUGACCACGAUGCAUGAACAGUAUAACGUAAUAUGGUUUCUACUUUUGAAGUGAUAGACAAGGUACCCUAGAGAGGACAACUCAGGAGGGAAAGGGGCUAACCGUCGAUUACACCGUUGAUCGACUAGUUUUACCGCAAUAUGCCGUUGCCAUAUUUAGGGGUUCAUAAUAUUGGAAGAGGGCAACCACUCAUAAUAAACGUUGCUAUAGGAUUUGUUUGGCACGGGUGGAAAAUAAUGUUGAACGAUGCAAUUACAACAAUGAAAUAAAUACAUGUAUUUUCACGUUCAUAAGAUAAUGAUUACAAUAGGUACUCGAAAUUUAAGACGGGAUUGAAUGAAGUUAAAGCAGUUAAAGAGAAAAAAAAAGAAAACAAGAAGAAGAAAGUUAGUAAUUAUGAAGAAAUAAUUAAAGCGGUAAAUAAAGGCAGUAAAGAAACCAACAAAGUCACAAAGCACGUAAUGAUGAAAGCCUUAAAGAAUCCCCAGCAGAGUCGCCAUGCUGUCGACACCCCCUUUUUCGGCUACUAAAAAACAGAAGCGGGAUCGGGUUUACGACAUUAUUGACGAAACAACUCUAAUUCCCGUUUGGGAAUUAGGUAUUGGAAGUUGAAGAGUCUCCAUCCAAUGAUUAUAGUGCAUUAGGACACUUUUAAGAAGAAGAGGGUAUUUUUUUAAGGAAAACCAGAGUUCGGGUAAAGGCUUGAAAUUAUCUCGAGGGAAAGGUGCUCGGCACCCCUCAAGAUCCACUAGUGUGGUUCCCGGCCGUGCUAACUGUGACUUUAAUAAGGCAAAUAAACAAACAAGGCUCACAUAUAAAGUAUUUAAGCAACUUAAGAAUUUUAAAAGGGAAAGGCGUAAUUUAAAUAAAAGCAGAAAGAAGAAAGGCAUACUUUUAGGAAAAACAUGUUUAAAUAGGGCAAGCAAAAGAGAAGGAGGUCCUAGGUUUGACUAUCAUAUGGAUCAUUUGAUACAAUAUCCCGCACAUAUUCCCAAAGAGAGGUAGCUUAAUGAUAUCAUCGCAUUUUCAUCUUCUCCGUAUUCUAAUCCCACCCGUAAAGGUUAUUUAAGCGUAUAGAUUGGUCACGAAUACUCAUCGCGUGCUAUUACCCGUCCCAUUCUAUUGAUCCUAGAGGGCAUUUAGUAUCAUUAUUCCUAUAAGGUAGGAUCUAGUCUAAACCCCUAGGUUCAAAGGUUAAAAUUCUAAACGAUAUACAAGAACAAAUAGGACUUGCACAUAAAAGGGAGUCAUACAAGCAUGUAAACGGCUCACAUAUCCCUCUAUACACGAACACAUAAUUAGCACAACUCGAAAACAUUUUAGGUAUAAGGAAGGAAGAGUCUUUCAAAAAACUGGCGUAUAAAUUAAAACAGAUGUUUGGAGGUUUUGCAGAAAAGUAAUACAAGGGAAAGCGUUCAGAACUUUCAAAGAGGCAUUAGCAGUUUUAGAAAAAAAUCUACAGAUGUAUCAAAAAAAUAUUUGCGGAACACAUCUUUCGGACAAGCGGAGUAGAAGAACAAAUAUGGAAGUAGCUUGAGAUUGCAGAAGUAUAAUGAAAAACAUAUCAAGUUUUAAACCUUUAAAAUUUAUAAUAUUCAGAUAGCUUAAAAAAGUAGCCCAGUGCUGGACGAGAAAACACAGUAGAAACAUUUGCGUAUAUGGCUUUGAAAAUAGUAGUCCAGCUCUGGAAAAAGUGUAAAUCGCUCGCAUAAGAACAAAAAUAGGGCAGAAGUUUAUAAAAAUUAGAGAGAUAUGAGUUCAGGCGUAGGUGGAUUAGUUCGAACGUGACUUAGAGAUGGAUAACGCAUUUUACUCGGCCUAAUGCUUGCCUAUGCAUUAUUAGAGAAUGGUGCGGCAAAUUUUCCUAAGGGUUCGUUUGAACCCCUGGCCAAUACCAAACACCCAAAGUAUCAUUAUUAGACAGAUGCAAAUGGGGAAGUGCCAGCCUUGUGUAUCAAAGUUCAAUGGGCGCUCAAGGGCUCCCAAGGCAAUGCUUAUACUAAGGGGGUAGAGCUUAGUGUUCUAAGAGUAGUGAAGUUGUGAUAAGAUUGCGAGAGUUUAAAACUGUCGAGAGUCAAUUUAAGAAAACAGCAGAAGAAUUUGAGAGACAGUUUGAAAAACCGUUUAAGAGAGUAUAAAGGGUUCUUUUGAAAUCAUUGGUACUAACAGAGAAUCACACAAACAGGGGAAAAGGGGAAGGGAAUAGAUAAAUACAGGGACCAACUCACACACAUGCAAACAAAAUGAAGGAAAGUAAUCAGACACAGUUGUAGAACAACAUGGGUUUAGUUCUUACUACACCUAACCCCCAUACACUUAACCUCAGGAAUAGGCUUAGGCUAAUCAAGUAGCCAAGCAACCCUGGACAUAUGGUAGUAAUGCACAAGGAAAAGUAAAGAUUCAAUUAGACAGGGAAAGGGGUAAGGGGAACAUGCUAGUCUAAGCUAUGUGGGCUAGUAAGUGCACACUAGUGACAAUAAGAACAGCAAAACCAUAGAUAAAAGAACACAAGGAACAAGAUGAAGUGCAGGAUUAACAGAGGUAUAUUGUUUUGGGGGAUAUAUACUAAAUAGAUGACAUACUAGUUGCAAACAGACAGAACACAAAGAACAAUGAGCAAGAGUGCACAGAGAGAGCAAAGUGAGCAGAGAAUAUGAGAAGCAAAGAGAAUAGGGGUGUGCAGCACAGUGUGAGAAUGGCAGUUUGCAGCAAAGAGAGCAACAUGCAAAUAAGAGAAUUAGAGAGUAUAGAAAUAGCAGAGAAAGAGAGAAUUUCAGGGAGUUUUUGUGAGAGAUAUGAAAUUUCCCUUUAAAGAGAAUGGGGAGGAGUAUUUAUAGUACUAAAACGAGUACAUAAACAGAGAAGCAAUCCUUAAUUAAGGAACUAGCAUCAAUUAAAUCAAAUUAGAAUAAGGACUCCCCUUUAAUUAAGGAGUCUAAUACAAACAUUAACAAGCAGAGGUUUUAAAGGAAAUGAAUCAAUUAAACUACUGUAUUUACCCUAGUAAGAAUAGUAUCGCACAUAAUAUGCAAUAGGGGUUAGAUACAUGAUAAUCCAAUUAAGGAAAAUUUAAGCUGAAGAUUCAAACGACUGUUUAUGGACAAAUAUGGUAAGGUAUAUGAAAUUAACUCUGAAAAUUAGUCCAAGAAUCACGGACAAAACCAAAUAUAGGAAACAUCUCACAAGCAAGAAAAUAAUUCAAAAUUGGUGUAAAAACCUUUAAGAAAAAAACUCAUACGAAUUAGGGAUCUAGAGAUAUGGACAGAAUCAGUGGCAUAUUACAUGAGUGGUGAUCAAUUAAACCUAUAAAGCCUAAUAGACACGAAAAUCAGAGAACCCUAAGCAAGUAAGCAUGGAAGCACAAAGAGUUGGAACCAUAGCAAGAAAAAUUAAAUCAUGGAACUCAGGUUAACAAGGAAACCGGACAAUCAAGCACGAACAAAUGCAUAACACUCAAAAAAAAAAAAGCAACAGACCUACGAUUUUGAAAAUGGGUCAGAAACCCUAAUUUUGAGAAAAGAGAAAAAUCAUCGGAAAUCAUGAAUAAUCAGAAAUACUAAGUGAGAAACAGAGUAAAAAACAAAAAUCAGACUAAAAAUCGUUUUAAAAGAACAAUGAUUAGAGAGAUUUGAGUAAAGAUUAGGGUUUGCAAAUAAAAUCAAGAAAACGAGGAACCUAGCCGUGAAACUCAUAAAUAAUUCCAUACGUAACAUUAUCGUGUAAAAACCACCGGAGAAAGACCGGCACAAACCCAGGCGAGAUUCAAUUGACUGUCUUCCAUGGCUGAAGCUUCUGGACUUCGAGUCUGAGAGAGGAAUAGUGAGAUGAGGUACCAUGGUGAAUGGCGGUUGAGAGGAGUGAAGGCGGAGGCGUCCGGAACGGCAGUGGAAGCCAUCGGAGAAGAGAGAGGAUCGAAGGUUCUAGAGAGAACUUCAGAGACGAGGGUUUAGAGAGAGAGACGGG